rnacentral:tRNA from 1 species
GGGAUAUAGCUCAGUUGGGAGAGCGCUGCGUUCGCAACGCAGAGGUCUCGGGUUCGAACCCCGUUAUCUCC